rfam:Mycoplasma sp. (ex Biomphalaria glabrata), complete genome.
UGGGGUGUAGCCAAGCGGUAAGGCAAAGGACUUUGACUCCUUCAUGCAUUGGUUCAAAUCCAAUCUCCCCAG